rnacentral:rRNA from 1 species
UACGGGGGGGGUAAGCGUUGUUCGGAAUUACUGGGCGUAUAGGGCUCGUAGGCGGCCAACUAAGUCAGACGUGAAAUCCCUCAGCUUAACUGGGGAACUGCGUCUGAUACUGGAUGGCUUGGAUUCGGGAGAGGAAUGCGGAAUUCCAGGUGUAGCGGUGAAAUGCGUAGAUAUUAGGAGGAACACCAGUGGCGAAGGCGGCUUUCUGGACAGUAACUGACGCUGAGGAGCGAAAGCGUGGGUAGCGAACAGG